CGAGCUUCACACGCGUGGCACCUUCCUUACAAGCUAAUGGUGACGAAAUGGUUCUAUUCGACCCGUCUUGAAACACGGACCAAGGAGUCUAACAUGUGUGCGAGUUCAUGGGUGGUAAAACUUGCGUGCGCAAUGAAAGUGAUUGCUGAGACCUUAGCAUCAGCGGCCGACCAAUCAAUUGGGAGAGGUUUGAGCAUGAGCAUAUCUGUUAGGACCCGAAAGAUGGUGAACUAUGCCUGAGAAGGGUGAAGUCU
rnacentral:rRNA from 1 species